CAGGAGAAUCGCUUGAACCCGAGAGGUGGAGGUUGCAGUAAGCCAAGAUUGCACCACUGCACUCCAGCCUGGAAAACAGAGUGAGACUCUCUCAAAAAAUAAAAAAUAAAAAACAUUUUUAAAAACGGAUGUAUAAUUCAGUAAAGCUUCAGGACACAAAAUCAACAUACAAAAAUCAGUAAUGUUUCUAUAUACCAGUAACAAACUAGCUAAAAUAGAAAUCAAGGAAGAAAUUCUAUUUACAAUAGCCACAAAAAUAAAAUACCUAGGAAUAAACUUAACCAAGGAUGAGGAAAAAAAAAAAAAAAAAAAAAAACCUCUACAAUGAAAACCACAAAACACUGAUAAAAUAAAUUGAGAAGGACACAAGCAAAUGGAAAGGCAUCCUAUGCUCGUGGGUUGGAAUAACUAAUACUGUUAAAAUGACCAUACUACCCGAAGCAAUCUAGAGAUUCACUAUAAUCCCUAUCAAUUAUAUUCUUCACAGAAACAGGAAAAAAAACCUGAAAUUCAUAUGGAACCACAGAAGACCCCAAAUAGCCAGAGCAAUACUGAGCAAAUAUGUGUAUAUAUAUGUAUACAUAUACGUAUAUAUGUAUAUACGUAUAUAUUAUAUAUGUAUACGUAUAUAUGUAUAUAUACACGUAUAUAUGUAUAUAUGUAUAUAUACACGUAUAUAUGUAUAUAUACACGUAUAUAUGUAUAUAUGUAUAUAUACACGUAUAUAUGUAUAUAUGUAUAUAUGUAUAUAUGCACGUAUAUAUGUAUAUAUGCACGUAUAUAUCACCCUGCCCUCCUACUACAUUCCUUUUUGCUGAAAUAAUAAAGAUAGUAUUCAAUAAAAACUGAGGGAACUCAGAGACCGGUGCCAGUGCAGGUCCUUGGUAUGCUAAGCGCCGGUACCCUGGGCCCACUGUUGUUUCU
rnacentral:lncRNA from 10 species